GGGAAUUGUGCAAAGAAUUGUAUCUUUAUUG
rnacentral:piRNA from 1 species